rnacentral:rRNA from 1 species
CAGUCGCCGCGGUAAUACAGAGGGUGCGAGCGUUAAUCGGAUUUACUGGGCGUAAAGCGUGCGUAGGCGGCUUCUUAAGUCGGAUGUGAAAUCCCUGAGCUUAACUUAGGAAUUGCAUUCGAUACUGGGAAGCUAGAGUAUGGGAGAGGAUGGUAGAAUUCCAGGUGUAGCGGUGAAAUGCGUAGAGAUCUGGAGGAAUACCGAUGGCGAAGGCAGCCAUCUGGCCUAAUACUGACGCCGAGGUACGAAAGCAUGGGGAGCAAACAGGAUUAGAUACCCCAGUAGUCCCUGUCUCUUAUAC